GACGAACGCUGGCGGCGCGCCUAACACAUGCAAGUCGAACGAGCGAGCGAGAGCUUGCUUUCUCAAGCGAGUGGCGAACGGGUGAGUAACGCGUGAGGAACCUGCCUCAAAGAGGGGGACAACAGUUGGAAACGACUGCUAAUACCGCAUAAGCCCACAGGUCGGCAUCGACCAGAGGGAAAAGGAGCAAUCCGCUUUGAGAUGGCCUCGCGUCCGAUUAGCUAGUUGGUGAGGUAACGGCCCACCAAGGCAACGAUCGGUAGCCGGACAGAGAGGUUGAACGGCCACAGUGGGACUGAGACACGGCCGAGACUCCUACGGGAGGCAGCAGUGGGGAAUAUUGCACAAUGGGGGAAACCCUGAUGCAGCGACGCCGCGUGGAGGAAGAAGGUCUGCGGAUUGUAAACUCCUGUUGUUGAGGAAGAUAAUGACGGUACUCAACAAGGAAGUGACGGCUAACUACGUG
rnacentral:rRNA from 1 species